UCAAUUUUCUCUCUGGGCAAACCCAGAAUCCGGCCAUCCUCCGAUCACUGGCGCCGUUGCCCACGGUAGCCUGAAGGUCAAUCUUUGCCUCUUUUAUAUAUAUAUAUUUGAUAUAUAUAUAGUUUUUUUCUAAAAAAAAAAGAAAAUAAAGAAAUUUUUUUAAUAAACCGAUUAAAAAAUGACCUUUUUCGUUUCUGACUUUGUUUUCUUUUCUGAAUCUGCUUUGCCCCUUUUUUUGUUGUUUUAUGUUUGAAUCUCCUCUUUUUUAUUCAAGAAAAAAAUCCUCCCUUACAAUACAUUCAGAUUCGGCCUUUAUAGCCUAUUUUUACAUAUUAUUUUUACUAUUUUCUUGCUGUUUGAUGCGUGUUUGCUCUCAUUUGCAGGGAGUGGUUGGCGUAGUUGGUAGUGGCAGAGGAGGUAGCGGCAGAGGAGUGGUUGAUGGUGCAGAGAUUAGAAGGCUAGGGUUUCUUUUUCUGUUUAGUUGUGGGCUUGUUGGGCCUUAGGGUUUUUUGAUUAUUUUGGGCCAUUGGGUCUUGCAAAUGGACUUGGUAAUUUGGACUUUUUUUAUUUAUUGGUUUUAUUUAUUUGGGCCCGGGUAAAUUGGGCCUACUACAUAGCUGAUUUCUUCAACUCUUUCACUUUAGUAGAAUUCUCUUUCACUUCAGCAGAUUUCUUCAUCAACAUUUAUCCCCAAAGUGAACCCUAGAAAUUAGCUUCAAAUCUCCUCAUUUCCUCUCCUACUCUUUCUUCUUUCUCUUCAGGUAUGUUUGUGUCUUUAUUUUGCUUUUUUCUUUAAUAUUUAUUGCCAUCUUUU
rnacentral:lncRNA from 1 species